AGCUGGUCUGAGUGCAGUGUUUACAACUCUUGAUUACAGAUUUCUUUGUUCCUUCUCCAUCCCCACUGCUUCACUUGACUAGUCUUAA
ensembl:misc_RNA Y_RNA Y RNA